CGUCUUCUUCACUGGUAUAAAUAAGCCCACCGAUUCUGUGACCGAACGCGAAAUCAACAAAAAUCCAAACCCGAAAUUCUCGCUCAACUUCUCACCACAGUGAGUCCAAGGCAGCCUAGCUUUCCAUCAGGCUUCGCGUUCCUGCCUGAGAAUGGCGGCGAAGGGGAAGAGCAGCCGAUUGCCGCCGAGGAAAACCACGUUGUCGUGGGCGACGGUGUUCACUGCGCUGAUAAUGGUUGCCUUUUUCGUUUUAAUUAUCCUCGCUUUAGGGAUUCUCUCGACGUCUAGAGAGUCCCCGAGAGCGCACGAUCUCAGCACAAUCGCGCGCAGCGCGAUGGAGAGGGAAGAUGAUGGCGAUAAAGGAGAUAGGUGGGUUGAAGUGGUUUCCUGGGAGCCUAGAGCCUUUAUCUAUCAUAAUUUCUUGUCGAAGGAUGAAUGUGAAUAUUUAAUUAGCCUUGCUAAGCCCAGUAUGAAAAACUCAACGGUUGUCGACAAUGAAACUGGCAAGAGCAAAGAUAGCAGGGUGCGGACAAGCACGGGAACAUUUCUAACCAGAGGAGGUGAUCAAGUAAUCACUAACAUCGAAAAAAGAAUUUCACAUUUCACUCACAUACCUGUAGAAAAUGGCGAAAGCCUUCAAGUUCUCCACUAUGAAGUGGGCCAGAAGUAUGAACCCCACUAUGAUUACUUUGCUGAUGAGUUUAAUAUUAAGAAUGGGGGUCAACGAAUAGCCACGCUUCUCAUGUACCUGUCUGAUGUUGAAGAAGGAGGGGAAACAGUUUUCCCUGACGCCAAGGGUAAUGUUAGUGCCGUCCCUUGGUGGGAUGAGCUAUCUGAAUGUGGAAAAAGCGGAUUGUCUAUAAAACCAAAAAUGGGCGAUGCAUUGCUUUUCUGGAGCAUGAAACCAGACGCAAGUCCAGAUCCAUCCAGUUUGCACGGUGGUUGCCCCGUUAUAAAGGGUAACAAAUGGUCAUCUACAAAAUGGAUGCGCUUCCACGAGUAUGAAUUAUAAACCGUGCAAACGGUAAAAUUCUUUAACGAGUAUGAAUUAUAAACCGUGCAAACGGUAUCAAGAGAGCCUUCUUCUCAACUCCUUUCAUGGCUUCAAGUCUCUUAACACUCUUAUAGCUACAGAAAACCGGCAAUAGGGUAGGGGAUAGAAACAGAAAGACCAAACUUAAAGCAUAUAGUGUACAAUUUUUACUAUGUUUUCCACGGAGCCCUUUCAUGUUGUUAUUUAAAGCAUAUAGUGUACAAUUUUUAGUAUGUUUUUCUGUUUUUGGUGAUGCA